GAUGAACGCUGGCGGCGUGCUUAACACAUGCAAGUCGAACGGGAAUUACUUUAUUGAAACUUCGGUCGAUAUGAUUUAAUUCUAGUGGCGGACGGGUGAGUAACGCGUGGGUAACCUGCCUUGUACAGGGGGAUAACAGUCAGAAAUGGCUGCUAAUACCGCAUAAGCGCACAGGACCGCAUGGUCCGGUGUGAAAAACUCCGGUGGUAUAAGAUGGACCCGCGUUGGAUUAGCUUGUUGGCAGGGUAACGGCCUACCAAGGCGACGAUCCAUAGCCGGCCUGAGAGGGUGAACGGCCACAUUGGGACUGAGACACGGCCCAGACUCCUACGGGAGGCAGCAGUGGGGAAUAUUGCACAAUGGGGGAAACCCUGAUGCAGCGACGCCGCGUGAAGGAAGAAGUAUCUCGGUAUGUAAACUUCUAUCAGCAGGGAAGAAAAUGACGG
rnacentral:rRNA from 1 species